AAAUAUAUAUACAGAUAGAAACAGAGGCUCGAAGAGAUUUUAGCUAUUGGUGAAGCGGUGAUCUUUGAGAUUGAUCUAGAAUCGACAGAUUAGCUCCUACUGAACAGGACACGGAAUAAGAACAUGACUUGUAUCCAACUAGUCUUUCGCGUACGUACAAUACAGUUCAGGUCGUCAUACACUCACACAGAUCGAGUGUGCUCGAUUCUUCUCCGAUCCACCGACGGCUGGUGCCUCCAAUGGAUUCAUCGAGCUGUGGAAACCAACUUCCCCGGGCAUGCAACUCAACACAUAUUACGUUUGCUGAUGCUCUUGUUAUAAUAUGCUGCACGAUGUGGCAUCCUAUGCUUGGUUACACAUUAUUUUUCACCACUGCUGAAAACCGACGCAUAUAUAGGAUUCUGCAUGAUAAAGAUCAAAAAGUGGCGAGUCAAUGCCGUCGCCGUCUUGAUCGGGUUUGCAGCCGGCCGGAGAGGGCAUCACCAUGCAGUGUUUCCUUCUCCGAAUGUAACCCAUGCCAGUAGAAUUGUGCCGUGUCACCUACAGAAACGAUUUGUUGCUGUAGUAGUUCGCUUGAUUUUUCGAAAUUUUACCAGGAAAUGAACAAUACGAAUUAAGAAGAAAAAGAAGAAGAAGAAGAAGAAGAAGAAGAAGAAGAGAAAAGUUGUUGAUUCUCAGCGCCAUCGAUCCGGUGAUUGUUAAAGAGAAAUCUGCAAAAUAAGAGUCGCUACAUAUAUAUAACUGUUCGUAUUGCAGAUAUCAAUAGAUUCUAAUUGCAACCUAGUGACAAGUAGCUUCAGCUCGAAAGAGUACCAUGGAGAGGCCCCAACUAAAAGCUGGUCUCCCAAUCUCCCAUCAUACAAAAUGUCAUGAUUCAUGAAGAAGUUUUCUUGUUUCUUUUCUGAGAUGGAAAUGGAGAAUGAAGGUGGCGUUUAGAGGAAUCAGACGAAUAGGUAAUAUACGUACGUACGUAGUACUUAGGGGAAUCAAAUCGUCCACUAAUAGAUGUUGACAGAGGUGAGAUAGAAUGUCGAUUAGGACACAAGUAAGUAAAACGUCAAAAGCAAAUUAUAUAGCAGAAAGAUUCUUAGGUAGGCUUUCCCUAUCACGCCGCGGCGGUGCCGAAACCCUGUUUGCACCGAUUUACUAAUGCUAUGUGUAAAUCUCCUUGCUUAAUCAAGGUAAGCAAUUUUAGAUUCCAUGAAGAUGAAGUAAAGCUUAAAAGAACAAAAAGAAAAGAAGAGGAAUAUAUAGAAAAAGGUCGAGUCUUUU